rnacentral:rRNA from 1 species
AUUGAACGCUGGCGGCAGGCUUAACACAUGCAAGUCGAGCGGUAACAGAGAGAAGCUUGCUUCUCUGCUGACGAGCGGCGGCCGGGUGAGUAAUGCCUAGGAAUCUGCCUAGUAGUGGGGGAUAACUUGCCGAAAGGUAAGCUAAUACCGCAUACGUCCUACGGGAGAAAGGAGGGGACCUUCGGGCCUUUCGCUAUUAGAUGAGCCUAGGUCGGAUUAGUUAGUUGGUGAGGUAAUGGCUCACCAAGACCGCGAUCCGUAACUGGUCUGAGAGGAUGAUCAGUCACACUGGAACUGAGACACGGUCCAGACUCCUACGGGAGGCAGCAGUGGGGAAUAUUGGACAAUGGGGGGAACCCUGAUCCAGCCAUGCCGCGUGUGUGAAGAAGGUCUUAGGAUUGUAAAGCACUUUAAGUUGGGAGGAAGAGCAGUUAACUAAUAUUUGACUGUUUUGACGUUACCGACAGAAUAAGCACCGGCUAACUUCGUG